UUCACAAAACACACGACUCGUGUUGAAGAAUUCAUCUUUAUCUCUUCUCACAAAGCUCAGGCCUUUUAAAACCCCAUGGCGAGUUCAAGUAAAAUGCGUGUAUCGUUUCCGUGUUGUAAUGCAGUAUGCUGUUUUGUAUUAAAACAAACUUGGAUUAUAUUGUGAUCAGCACAUAAUUACAAAACCAAAUAAUGGAGUUCUGCAAACCUGACAUACAAACAGUUUGUUGGUCACUGUCGGUAUGAGCUUAGUUAUCAUCUUUAUUGCAUCUAAGUGUCUCUUGCGCCACUGUUAAAACAUUUCAAAGCCUUAGUUAGUUCAAUAGACAUUUGCAAUGUUCCAGUAAACAUUAAAGGAAAUUACUAUAUCCCCAUCAGAAAAUGUUACUGAUUUAUUAACCUGCUUACUCUUUUCCACUUAUACGAGUUCCUUAUCUAUAGAGUUUUGUCCUGCAUCGGCUUAUCAGCUCUCUACUCUUCUCCCUCUC
rnacentral:lncRNA from 1 species